rnacentral:rRNA from 1 species
GACGAACGCUGGCGGCGUGCUUAACACAUGCAAGUCGAACGGAAAGGCCCUGCUUUUGUGGGGUGCUCGAGUGGCGAACGGGUGAGUAACACGUGAGUAACCUGCCCUUGACUUUGGGAUAACUUCAGGAAACUGGGGCUAAUACCGGAUAGGAGCUCCUGCUGCAUGGUGGGGGUUGGAAAGUUUCGGCGGUUGGGGAUGGACUCGCGGCUUAUCAGCUUGUUGGUGGGGUAGUGGCUUACCAAGGCUUUGACGGGUAGCCGGCCUGGGAGGGUGACCGGGGACAUUGGGACUGAGAGACGGCGCAGAGGGGUACGGGGGGCAGCAGGGGGGAAUAUGGCACAAUGGGCGGAAGCCUGAGGCAGCAACGCCGGGGGCGGGAUGACGGCCUGCGGGUUGUAAACCGCUGUCGCCUGUGACGAAGCGGGAGUGACGGUAAUGGGUAAAGAAGCACCGGCUAACUACGUG